rnacentral:rRNA from 1 species
GGAGGGUGCGAGCGUUAAUCGGAAUUACUGGGCGUAAAGCGUGCGUAGGCGGAUACUUGAGUCGGAUGUGAAAGCCCCCGGCUUAACCUGAGAAUUGCAUCCGAUACUGCUCUGUCUAGAGUGCAGGUAGAGGGGAGUGGAAUUCCCAGUGUAGCGGUGAAAUGCGUAGAUAUUGGGAGGAACACCAGUGGCGAAGGCGGCUCUCUGGCCUGUUUCUGACGCUGAGGCGCGAAAGCGUGGGGAGCAAACAGGAUUAGAUACCCUGGUAGUCCACGCUGUAAACGAUGGGUGCUAGGUGUAGGAGGUAUCGACCCCUUCUGUGCCGUAGUUAACACAAUAAGCACCCCGCCUGGGGAGUACGGCCGCAAGGUUG